rnacentral:lncRNA from 1 species
GAUAUUAAACAACAGAAAAAGGAAAGCAAAUACUGUCUGCAAUUUUCACACUUAAGACAUGAUUAAUAGCUUAAUCACUGGCCAACUGUUGGGCUGUAGAUGGUUGUUUAUUCCUCUUCCUGAGAACACAUUGGAAGACUCUGCAAGUGUGCUGGUUUGGACAGCUUACUUUUUUAAUGAGUACCAAAUGCAUCCCUGUAUCCUGAUGAUGCUGAGCAGCUUCCUUUAA